rnacentral:tRNA from 1 species
AGGGACUUAGGAUAGCACCUAGUCCAAGGGCCUUCAAAGUCCUAAGCGGGGGUGAAAAUCCCCCAGCCCCUG